GAAUAUUGGACAAUGGGGGCAACCCUGAUCCAGCCAUGCCGCGUGUGUGAAGAAGGCUUUCGGGUUGUAAAGCACUUUCAGUGGUGAGGAAGGCUUGGUCUUAAUACGGUCAAGUACUUGACGUUAGCCACAGAAGAAGCACCGGCUAACUCCGUGCACGCAGCCGCGGUAAUACGGAGGGUGCGAGCGUUAAUCGGAAUUACUGGGCGUAAAGCGCGCGUAGGCGGUUUGUUAAGUGAGAUGUGAAAGACCUGGGCUCAACCUGGGAACGGCAUUUCAUACUGGCAGGCUAGAGUAUGGUAGAGGUGGGUAGAAUUCCUGGUGUAGCGGUGAAAUGCGUAGAGAUCAGGAGGAAUACCGGUGGCGAAGGCGGCCCACUGGACCGAUACUGACGCUGAGGUGCGAAAGCGUGGGGAGCAAACAGG
rnacentral:rRNA from 1 species